ensembl:lncRNA
ACUGGGGACUCUCCCCCAACUUACCAGGCCCCAGAAGUUAUUUCCCAGGCAGCGUUUUGACCAAGAUUGACAGAAAAAACUCACUAAGGGAGCCCCAAGGAAAGAACUUCGGUGAGCAAGACUUGAGGAAGAGGGCGUUAGGCCGCUGUUGUCCAGGACACGUCAGUUACAUGUGAAUCCCUUCUGGCAAUUCAGCAAUAGCCAUUGUAACUUUCAGGUUUUUGAUGUGGUCUCCUUUUUGCAGACAAUAGAGUUAUAUCCUCUCUUACUUCUGAGGUCUGCUGCCUUGUGGCAGAAGUUGGUAAGGGGGCUUGCGACCACAUGGAAAUUUUCCACUUGGAAAUUCACACAUUGUUUCCUCUUGGUUUAUCGGUAGGCAGAAGGUAAGAAGACAAAUUAGCUUGCCUUGGGUUUAUCUCUCAGUUACUACAUGGAGGGAGGGGGGAAACUGGUUUAACCUUGGCUGCUUGAUAGUGGAUCUGAAAGUCUAGUAUUGCAUGAGAAGUCCCUGCUAGAUAAAAUGUAAUAUUGGGGUCCCAUCUCCAGUGACUGUGGUUUAGUAGUUCCGGGUGGGCCUUGGCAGUAUACGUUUUUGAGCAAGCACCCCAAUAACUCUCAUAUGCAUGUUUCAAGACCUCGUGAUGUGGAGUACUGAUCUAGGUCCUCUUAGAACAGGAUGGAAGUUUGCUGAAGCGGGGACAAGAUUGGCCAUUGUGAAUGAUACUAACAUUGUGAUUAAGAGAACAAAUGUCUCUUUAGAUCUAAAGUCCUAAGCUUUUUGUCUUAGGCUGAAUUCCCCAGGAGGAGAGCCUAGACUGGUAUUUGGGUGUAUGUGAUGCAUUGGCGUGGUCUCAGGAAAAAGAUUAUAAAGGAAGUAGGAGAGCGCAAAGUAAGGCCCUAAGCAAGGGUGUGGGUUCAGCCGGAGGCUAGCUUUACUCGGAUCCCACAGGGAGCUCUGCGCGUGAGUUGUACCACAUGGCAUAUCCCACCCUGAGGAAAGAAGGCUAGCUUUUGGUACCUUUUGACAGCCAGUCACUGGCUGUGAGCUACCCUGGGAUGGGAGAUAGAAUCUUCUGGAUGAGCAGAGGGCAGAUCUCCAGGGAGAAGGCCUCUGUUGCCAUUAGCAACCAACCCUCAUGGCCACUGGGGAAUGGAUGCACCAGCCAGGUAAAAGGGACCGAGAAGAGUCACCAACAGCAUCCAUUGUGUUAUGACACCGUAGUGUCACAUGAGAGGCAUUUCACACUAUGGCUCCUGUUCUUGGUCACCCUGGCCACUCUUGCUGCUAUAAGCUUGCUACUCUUAAGUUUUUUGUUUGUUUGUUAUCAUUACAAGGGAAAACAUGGAUAGCAAAAAUAUUUGGCUUUUUGCUUUUUAGUAUUUCCCUUCUUGUGCUUUAGUAAAAAUUGUCAUCCUGCAGCAAAGUGUAGAUAAUAUGGCAGCAUCCUUUGUCAAUUUUGUCUCCUCACUUGAAGAAACAAUGACUUUGAAUACUGAAUUAUGGGUCCUUAGGCUGUAGUGAAAUCUUAAUGUGCUUUACUCAAAACUUCCUUUGCAGAUGAGUCCGUCUCACGCUUCUUGUAAUGAGAUUGCUCGUGGGGGAUGUUCGUUUGUUUAGGACUUUCUGUGAGAAAUAUGCUGUUCUGGAGACUAUUGAACUGGUUGUCAUUGGUUACUUGGCUUUAUUAAAUAAAACAGCCUCUUCUCAACUACCUUCUGUGGAACAUUAGUGUCUUUUGUACUGUAUUCUAUAGGAAAUAAGUCCUAUGGUCAAAUAAUUUUGGAGGGGAGGUGUUCUGUAUACUGUUUCCUUCUAGGAGAUUCACAGAGCACUUUGGCCUGUUAGAAGGUUCUCCAGACCCUGCAGGAAAGAAAACUGUUUACUCUUGCUUGGCUGAUCGAUUCUCAAACCUACCUGCUCAUGGAGAUGCUUGUCAUCACUGCCUCCCUCCUUUUUAUUUUUUCAGAAUACACAUUACCAGUUUACAGGACUAAUGUUCCAUAGUACACAGUUUGGAGAAUACCGAAAUGAAACUUUAUUCCUCAUCAUGUAUUACCAGGGCUUUCUGAGCAGCGAAGAACCAGUUCCACUCUUUUAUGUUGUAAAACCGGUCUCGACGCCUUAUCUACAUGCAAGGCAGGUGCAAAGCAGAUUUGGGGAUCAAAGUAGUCUCUGGAGAAAAAGGAUAGGUUAUUUGUUUGUCAUGCUGAAGGGGCUGUAAAAACAGUAACAUACUUAAUGAGGCUUCACUAUGGAUAUAUUAGUCUCCAUAAAACAUUUUAUUUAGCCUAACCUACAAUUACUUAAUGGCCAGUGAGUUUCAUAAACAGCUAGUCCCCAGCCUCAAACAUAUAUUAAGUGUCUGUUCUUUUGUGGAGUGAGUUUGCCAGGGAGAGUCAUGCAAGAUUAAAAAGAUAGAACAUUAAAAAUUCAGCCAAGACACACCAGGGCUGCCCUGAUGAUAACAACUACGGUGUGAUGUUUCUCAGUUCAUAUGGAUUCCCCAUACUGUUCUCAGUAGAAGAUAACCCUGCUAUUGCCCAAUACUCUUUCAUUAAAAAAUUAUUUGCACAGUCAUGGGUGUAUGGCAUUUCCUUUUUUGCUUAAGACAGACCCUCGGUGAGUUGAAUUUUUCUAAGGAAUUUUGAAUUGUAAGAGACAGAAAUGAAUGAAUAUUUAUUUAGAGGAAAAAUAUUGAGUCCUUACAUUUCCUACAGCACUUUGAAGUUUGCAGAGGGCUCCCUUCCCCCUUCCUCAACUAUCACUUUUGUACUUAAACAAAACCUCUGUGAGACAGUAGUAUUACCAGCACCACAAAAGUAGCAGAGGACUCUUGGAAAGCUGGCCAGAGCAGCCUUACAGAAUUCAGAAGCUUUAUUUACAUUCACCUGAACCGUUAUCCUAAGUGACAGGCUCUCUGGGGUUUGCUUUCUUGCACUGUAAGAAAAUUCUAGAAGGAAAUCACCACGAGAUUUUUCUCUUCUUUGUUCUUCCUUCCUUCCUACUUAGUUAUGUUCAAUCAACUUAUCAUCUAGACUCAGCCACGAGCUUACUGUGUGUCCUGAUCCAUUGCUUAGCAAUCGUUCCCUCUUGGAUCAUGAGAGGUGGUAAGUUUCUAGGAUAUGUGUGUGAGUGCAUAUGUGUGCAAAUGUGUAGGAAUUGGUGAGGGAUGAAGGACUCAGAGAUCAUCUUUAGACAGAGUCCUGUGUUCCCCACCCAGGCGUGUGGAUUUUCUCUAGUAAGAAGGGUGAGGAGGCUAGGAUCUCGGAUGCCUUGGGCAACGUGGAAGAGGGCUUGGUACAGCAGAGGCUGUUACGGUGAAUAUGGGGGUCAGAGGAUGAAGGUCUGGGAAAUGGAUGGAGCCAAGGCAAUGGAGGGGAUUCCUGAGGUGGAACUGACCAGUCUUGGAGGUAAGGGAGAUACAGCAACUCAAGAUAUUGAUGAGGCGUCUAAUAGAGGUGGCCAAUAGUGCUGUUAUCAGAGAAGAGAACAAGAGGGAGACAACUGGGGUGGUAGCCUAGGGGGCGGCGGCGGGAGAGUUGAAACGAUAGAAGCCACUUUAGGAUGUGAUGAGCUUGAAGUGAAAUGUUUAGGUAGCUUGAAGUAGCCAUCCACAUUACAGAGAAAGAGAACAAAACCUGAGAUUUAGAGUUAAUGCUCGACAGUGUGUAAAGACCUGGACGCACAGACCAAAGCAUCUAGGAAGAGGGUGGCACCAGAUUGAAUCAGCCCACAUGACUCACACAUGUUAGAAAUGUCAUAUGUAUAUAUAUAUAUAUGUAUUUGGUCUUUUUUUUUGCCAUUUCUUGGGCCGCUCCUGCGGCAUAUGGAGGUUCCCAGGCUAGGAGUCGAAUCGGAGCUGUAGCCACUGGCCUACACCAGAGCCACAGCAACGCAGGAUCCGAGCCACGUCUGUGACCUACACCACAGCUCACGGCAAUACCAGAUCCUUAACCCACUGAGCAAGGCCAGGGAUCGAACCCGCAACCUCAUGGUUCCUAGUCAGAUUCGUUAACCACUGUGCCACAAUGGGAACUCUGGAAAUGUCAUAUGUUUUUACAACGUGUAAGGCAACUCCAUUUCAUACCGAGCACUCCUCCUUGUAGUCUGGGGGAAAACCUAAUUUCGUAUCUUUGAUUUUCCCUUCCUGAGGCAGUGCUGAGACAUCAGGAUGCAGAGUGGUGAUCUGGUCCUUGGUCACCUGUUGGGUAGGUUAUUUGCCAAGGCUUGCCAUCAUUCCUACUAGAUCCUUUUUCUCUGCCAUGGCUGUGCCAUGAGAUGCCACUUGUUGUUUUGUCUGAUGAGCUUCAGCUCCACCCAGCUCUUGGGCUUGGAGUUUUGCUGUCAACCUUUUGGGAGUGUGAGGGAAGCAUGGCUGCUCUGGGAUCCUUUGGUAUCGUUCGUCUUUCCUCUCUGAGUUUUAGCCCAGGGACCUCUCUUUCUAGGGCAGGGAAGGAAGAAAGGAUGAAGCGCCCUUCCUCUCGCUUCUCACAUACCCUCCCCUCUUCUCCCCCAAACCACCACUUCUCUUAAGGGCUUAAACAUGUUUGUGUGUGUGUGUGUGUGUGUGUGUGUGUGUGUGUUGGGGGAAAGGCAGACAGACUUGCUGGUUAUUUGCUUAUGGCCCUGAUGCAUGCCUCCUGGUAGCUGUGGAGGAUCACGAUGGCUACCACACUGAACUGGGAGGACGGAAACAAACAAAUACAGAUACAGAGAGAAACAAGAGUAAUAUCUGAAAAUACCAUCUAGCUACAGUGUUCAAGUAAGAGGAGAAACCAAGCAGGCUUUGGGCUACAGAGUAUAGAGACAAGAGAGAACAGGAAGAUGACAUCCAGGGAAGAAGCCAGAAAGCUCCCAGAGAAUGCAACAAAAAGCACCACUCUCAGGAUGUCGAGAUGCAAGACAUGGCCCCAGCUAUGAUGAUACCAGGACAUGCCAGAGGAGGGCAGGCGAGUCAUAGCCCGGGGCUUUAAAGUAAGCCUGUGGAGUUCCCAUUGUGGCUCAGAGGUAGCAAACAUGACUAGUAUCCAUGAGGACUCGGGUUUGAUCCCUGGCCUCGCUCAGCGGGUUAAGGGUCCAGUGUUGCUGGGAGAGCGUCAGUGUAGGUUGCAGAUGAGGCUUGGAUCCCAAAUUGCUGUGGCUGUGGCUGGCAGCUGCAGCUCCAAUUUGAUCCCUAGCCUGGGAAACUCCAUAUGCCAUAGGUGUAGCCCUAAAAAGACAAAAAAAAAAAAAAAA